rnacentral:rRNA from 1 species
CCUGUUUAACCAAAACAUGUCUUAUUGUAUUUUAUUUUAGGUCUAUUCUGCUCCAUGAUUUUAUUAAAUAGCUGCAGUAUAUUACCUGUCCCAAGGUAGCAUAAUAAUUUGUCUUUUUAUUGAGGGCUUGUAUGAAUGAUUGGCGAGAUAUUAGCUUUCUUUAUUUUAAUUUAUGAAUUUGAUUUUUUAGUUAAAAUGCUAAAAUUUUUUUAUGGGCGAGAAGCCCCUAUAGAAUUUUAUAAUUAUUAAAACUUUUUAUUUUAUUUUUUAUAAUUUUUUGUUUUUUUAAUUUUUUGGUUGGGGUGAUUAUAAAAAUUUUUAAACUUUUAUUUUUUAUUUUUCAAUAAUUUUUGUUUUUUUUGAUCCUUUAUUAUGGAUUUUGAGAUUAAAUUCCCUUAGGGAUAACAGCGUAAUUUUUUUGGAGAGUUCUUAUCGAUAAUAUAAGUUUGCGACCUCGAUGUUGG